GACCUCAAAUCAGGCAGGACUACCCGCUGAACUUAAGCAUAUCAAUAAGCGGAGGAAAAGAAACUAACCAGGAUUCCCCCAGUAACGGCGAGUGAAGUGGGAAAAGCUCAACUUUGAAAUCUGGCAGCUUCGCUGUCCGAGUUGUAGUCUCGAGAAGCGUCUUCCGCGCUGAAGCAUGUACGAGUCUGUUGGAAUACAGCGCCUCAGAGGGUGAGAGCCCCGUCCAUGACAUGCCUUUCAGUGCUCUGUGAUGCGCUUUCGAUGAGUCGAGUUGUUUGGGAAUGCAGCUCUAAAUGGGUGGUAAAUUCCAUCUAAGGCUAAAUAUUGGCGGGAGACCGAUAGCAAACAAGUACCGUGAGGGAAAGAUGAAAAGCACUUUGGAAAGAGAGUUAAAAGUACGUGAAAUUGUCGAAAGGGAAACGAUUGAAGUCGG
rnacentral:rRNA from 1 species